rnacentral:piRNA from 1 species
UUGGUUAAUAUACACUGAGAAGUGUCAAGUC